rnacentral:rRNA from 1 species
AAUAUUGGACAAUGGGGGCAACCCUGAUCCAGCCAUGCCGCGUGUUUGAAGAAGGUCUUCGUAUUUUAAAGCUCUUUAAGUUGGGAGGAAGGGCUUUAGGUUAAUCCCCUGAAGUUUUGACGUUCCCAACACUAUAAGCACCGGCCAACUCUGUUCCAGCAGCCGCGGUAAUACAGAGGGUGCAAGCGGUAAUCGGAAUUACUGGGCGUAAAGCGCGCGUGGGUGGUUCAGUAAGAUGGGUGUGAAAUCCCCGGGCUUAACCUGGGAACUGCUUUCAUAACUGCUGAGCUAGAGUACGGUAGAGGGUAGUGGAAUUUCCUGUGUAGCGGUGAAAUGCGUAGAUAUAGGAAGGAACACCAGUGGCGAAGGCGACUACCUGGACUGAUACUGACACUGAGGUGCGAAAGCGUGGGGAGCAAAC